UACGUAGGGGGCAAGCGUUGUCCGGAAUCAUUGGGCGUAAAGAGCGUGUAGGCGGUUCGUUAAGUCUGCUGUGAAAGUCCAAGGCUCAACCUUGGGAUGUCGGUGGAUACUGUCGAACUCGAGUCCGGAAGAGGAGUGUGGAAUUCCUGGUGUAGCGGUGAAAUGCGCAGAUAUCAGGAGGAACACCGAUGGCGAAGGCAGCACUCUGGGACGUGACUGACGCUGAGACGCGAAAGCGUGGGGAGCAAACAGG
rnacentral:rRNA from 1 species